rnacentral:rRNA from 1 species
CAAUGGGCGCAAGCCUGAUGCAGCGACGCCGCGUGGGGGAUGACGGCCUUCGGGUUGUAAACCUCUUUCGCUAGGGACGAAGCUUUUGUGACGGUACCUAGAUAAGAAGCACCGGCUAACUACGUGCCAGCAGCCGCGGUAAUACGUAGGGUGCGAGCGUUGUCCGGAAUUACUGGGCGUAAAGAGCUCGUAGGUGGUUUGUCGCGUCGUCUGUGAAAUUCCGGGGCUUAACUUCGGGCGUGCAGGCGAUACGGGCAUAACUUGAGUGCUGUAGGGGAGACUGGAAUUCCUGGUGUAGCGGUGGAAUGCGCAGAUAUCAGGAGGAACACCGAUGGCGAAGGCAGGUCUCUGGGCAGUAACUGACGCUGAGGAGCGAAAGCAUGGGGAGCGAACAGGAUUAGAUACCCUGGUAGUCCAUGCCGUAAACGGUGGGCGCUAGGUGUGAGGGUCUUCCACGACUUUCGUGCCGUAGCUAACGCAUUAAGCGCCCCGCCUGGGGAGUACGGCCGCAAGGCUAAAACUCAAAGGAAUUGACGGGGGCCCGCACAAGCGGCGGAGCAUGUGGAUUAAUUCGAUGCAACGCGAAGAACCUUACCUGGGCUUGACAUAUGCAGGAUCGGCGUAGUGAUACGUUUUCCCUUGUGGUCUGUAUACAGGUGGUGCAUGGUUGUCGUCAGCUCGUGUCGUGAGAUGUUGGGUUAAGUCCCGCAACGAGCGCAACCCUUGUCUUAUGUUGCCAGCACGUGAUGGUGGGGACUCAUGAGAGACUGCCGGGGUUAACUCGGAGGAAGGUGGGGAUGACGUCAAAUCAUCAUGCCCCUUAUGUCCAGGGCUUCACACAUGCUACAAUGGUCGGUACAACGCGCUGCGAGCCUGUGAGGGUGAGCGAAUCGCUGAAAGCCGGCCUCAGUUCGGAUUGGGGUCUGCAACUCGACCCCAUGAAGUCGGAGUCGCUAGUAAUCGCAGAUCAGCAACGCUGCGGUGAAUACGUUCCCGGGCCUUGUACACACCGCCCGUCACGUCAUGAAAGUUGGUAACACCCGAAGCCAGUGGCCUAACCCUUGUGGGGGGAGCUGUCGAAGGUGGGAUCGGCGAUUGGGACGAAGUCGUAACAAGGUAGCCGUACCGGAAGGUGCGGCUGGAUC